CCUGGUAGCUUAGUGGCAAAGAAUCUGCCUACCAAUGCAGAAGAUUCAGGUUCAAUCCCUGAGUCAGGA
rnacentral:tRNA from 1 species